AGUGGCGGACGGGUGAGUAACGCGUAAGAAUCUAACUUCAGGACGGGGACAACAGUGGGAAACGACUGCUAAUACCCGAUGUGCCGCGAGGUGAAACCUAAUUGGCCUGAAGAAGAGCUUGCGUCUGAUUAGCUAGUUGGUGGGGUAAGAGCCUACCAAGGCGACGAUCAGUAGCUGGUCUGAGAGGAUGAGCAGCCACACUGGGACUGAGACACGGCCCAGACUCCUACGGGAGGCAGCAGUGGGGAAUUUUCCGCAAUGGGCGAAAGCCUGACGGAGCAACGCCGCGUGAGGGAGGAAGGUCUUUGGAUUGUAAACCUCUUUUCUCAAGGAAGAAGUUCUGACGGUACUUGAGGAAUCAGCCUCGGCUAACUCCGUGCCAGCAGCCGCGGUAAUACGGGGGAGGCAAGCGUUAUCCGGAAUUAUUGGGCGUAAAGCGUCCGCAGGUGGUCAGCCAAGUCUGCUGUCAAAUCAGGUUGCUUAACGACCUAAAGGCGGUGGAAACUGGCAGACUAGAGAGCAGUAGGGGUAGCAGGAAUUCCCAGUGUAGCGGUGAAAUGCGUAGAGAUUGGGAAGAACAUCGGUGGCGAAAGCGUGCUACUGGGCUGUAUCUGACACUCAGGGACGAAAGCUAGGGGAGUGAAAGGGAUUAGAUACCCCUGUAGUCCUAGCCGUAAACGAUGGAUACUAGGCGUGGCUU
rnacentral:rRNA from 1 species